rnacentral:rRNA from 1 species
UACAGAGGGGGCAAGCGUUGUUCGGAAUUACUGGGCGUAAAGGGCUCGUAGGCGGCCAACUAAGUCGGACGUGAAAUCCCCAGGCUCAACCUGGGAACUGCGUCCGAUACUGGAUGGCUUGAAUCCGGGAGAGGGAUGCAGAAUUCCAGGUGUAGCGGUGAAAUGCGUAGAUAUCUGGAGGAAUACCUGUGGCGAAGGCGGCCUUCUGGACCAUUCUUGACGCUGAGACGCGAAAGCGUGGGUAGCAAACAGG